GUUCUCUGGUAAAAUCUCCGCAUCCAUUGAAGAAAUUGGCUGAGCUCAGAGUGUGGGCAUGACACUGUCGACGCUUGCGAGCUUCUCCGUUCCCCCCCAAAUUGCUGGAAUCGACCGUAUCCACCCGCCUCAAUUAUCGCAUAGGAUGACGUCGCGAAGGUCGAAGAAGGCUAUGGUAACCUCGUGCGGUUAUUCAUGUUUCGAGGUCAGGGAUCUCUGCUACCGUCCUCCAGGAACCCAGUUCAAUAUUUUGAACGGUGUUAAUUUUUCUCUCCGUGAAAACAGCUUCGGCUUGAUUUUCGGGAAGAGUGGGAGCGGGAAAACUACUCUUCUGCAGCUACUUGCUGGGCUAAGCAAACCUACAUCAGGUUCCAUUUGUAUUCAAAGAUAUGGGGAUGACAGCCAACCAAAGGGAGUUCCAGAGUUUCUGCCAGCCGAAAAGGUUGGAAUUGUUUUCCAGUUUCCGGAGAGAUACUUUGUUGCGGAUAAUGUGCUUGACGAGAUUACUUUUGGUUGGCCAAGGCAAAGGGGUAGGUUGCAACUAAAGGAGCAUCUGACCUUCAAUCUCCAGAGAGCAUUUAAAUGGGUUGGAUUAGAUGGGAUCCCCCUGGACAAAGAUCCUCAGUUACUGAGUGGAGGCUACAAGCGCCGGCUUGCGUUGGCUAUUCAAUUGGUUCAAACUCCAGACUUAUUGAUAUUGGAUGAGCCCCUCGCCGGUCUCGAUUGGAAGGCACGUGCAGAUGUUUCAAAGCUCUUGAAGCACCUGAAGAAGGAAGUGACAUUGCUUGUCGUAAGUCAUGACCUAAGGGAGUUAGCAGGUUUGGUUGACCAGUCAUGGAGAAUGGAAACAAGUGGUGUUCUUCAUGCAGAACACCUGCCAGUUUAAUUCAUGACUCUGUAAUACUAGUCAUGGACGUUGUAGUCAGACCAGGUUUGGUGAUAAAGAGGGUAAAAUGGCAGGGUUUAACAUUUGAAAGUUGUGAUAUCACAUGUCAAGAUGUACUUUCCGAUGGAAGAUUUGGAUUAUCUGCAUGUGAAAUAAUUAAGAGCAGACUUGUUAGGAGCACGGCUUGCAACUUAGAGCAUGAUAGUAUACCUUCCUCCAAUGUACCAUGACGGUCCCUAGGAAAGGCCCACUAUGAAUCUUGCAUCAUUUACCUGAAAUAAUUUACAGUGUAUACCUGUUCGAGAUUUGGCAUCUAUCAUCACAGACAUGCCAAAAGUAUGGGGU